rnacentral:rRNA from 1 species
UGGGGAAUAUUGCACAAUGGGCGAAAGCCUGAUGCAGCGACGCCGCGUGAGGGAUGACGGCCUUCGGGUUGUAAACCUCUUUCAGUAGGGACGAAGCGCAAGUGACGGUACCUGCAGAAGAAGCACCGGCUAACUACGUGCCAGCAGCCGCGGUAAUACGUAGGGUGCGAGCGUUGUCCGGAAUUACUGGGCGUAAAGAGCUCGUAGGCGGUUUGUCACGUCGUCUGUGUAAUCCUAGGGCUUAACCCUGGACGUGCAGGCGAUACGGGCUGACUUGAGUACUACAGGGGAGACUGGAAUUUCUGGUGUAGCGGUGGAAUGCACAGAUAUCAGGAAGAACACCGAUGGCGAAGGCAGGUCUCUGGGUAGUAACUGACGCUGAGGAGCGAAAGCAUGGGUAGCGAACAGG